CAUUYUGGGGGUYGUUUUGGCAUUUGGUUGCUUUCUUGGCAUUGUGCCAGGUGGGUGGUCACUUGCUCGACGGUCUUCGGGAAUGUUAACCGUAAAGGUGCAUGAGUGGUGAUUGGUUUGUUACCGGUGGUUGGCUCUUUGCUUGCGCAACAACUUCCACCUGGCUUACCUCCUCAGUUAUGCGUCAAAGGGUAGUAUCUCCUUGAGCGUAUUGUGGGUUUCCUGUGUUGAAUUCCAAUUUGAUGGUAUUGUUUUGGCUGAUCGAAGUCCCUUUUCGUCUUGUGUUGCCUUUGUGAUUCAAGAUGAACCGUGAAGUGGUCUCUAUGUUCCACUAUGUUGAUGCAAAUGCAUUGAUGUCGUGGCCCAUUGAGCGUUGCUUGGAAUCCUGGAUACGGAACAUUAUGUGGGCAUGGGGUCUUUCAUGGCUCUUGUUUUGUCCUCGUUUAGUGUUCUUUGAAACGACAGUUCAUGCGCGCCUAGGCUCGUACCUGCGCGAUGAUCUUUGUCAAARAGGAAUGC
rnacentral:misc_RNA from 1 species